rnacentral:rRNA from 1 species
GACGAACGCUGGCGGCGUGCUUAACACAUGCAAGUCGAACGGAAAGGCCCUGCUUUUGUGGGGUGCUCGAGUGGCGAACGGGUGAGUAACACGUGAGUAACCUGCCCUUGACUUUGGGAUAACUUCAGGAAACUGGGGCUAAUACCGGAUAGGAGCUCCUGCUGCAUGGUGGGGGUUGGAAAGUUUCGGCGGUUGGGGAUGGACUCGCGGCUUAUCAGCUUGUUGGUGGGGUAGUGGCUUACCAAGGCUUUGACGGGUAGCCGGCCUGAGAGGGUGACCGGCAACAUGGGGAAUAAGAUAGGGCCCAGACGCCAACGGGAGGCAGCAGCGGGGAAUAUUGCACAAUGGGCGGAAGCCUGAUGCAGCAACGCCGCGUGGGGGAUGAGGGCCUUCGGGUUGUAAACCGCUUUCGCCUGUGACGAAGCGUGAGUGACGGUAAUGGGUAAAGAAGCACCGGCUAACUACGU